rnacentral:rRNA from 1 species
AUUGAACGCUGGCGGCAUGCCUUACACAUGCAAGUCGAACGGUAACAGGUCUUCGGAUGCUGACGAGUGGCGAACGGGUGAGUAAUACAUCGGAACGUGCCCGAUCGUGGGGGAUAACGGGGCGAAAGCUUUGCUAAUACCGCAUACGAUCUACGGAUGAAAGCGGGGGAUCUUCGGACCUCGCGCGGACGGAGCGGCCGAUGGCAGAUUAGGUAGUUGGUGGGAUAAAAGCUUACCAAGCCGACGAUCUGUAGCUGGUCUGAGGGGAUGAUCAGCCACACUGGGACUGAGGCACGGCCCAGACUCCUACGGGAGGCAGCAGUGGGGAAUUUUGGACAAUGGGCGAAAGCCUGAUCCAGCCAUGCCGCGUGCAGGAUGAAGGCCUUCGGGUUGUAAACUGCUUUUGUACGGAACGAAAAGCCUCUUUCUAAUAAAGAGGGGUCAUGACGGUACCGUAAGAAUAAGCACCGGCUAACUACGUG